GAGCUUCCAAAAAAAAUUUUUGUUUUCGUCUCUCUUGAAGAAUUUGAGUUCUCUUGAGAAUUUCAGCUUUUGUCUGACACUCGUGUGAUUUACUAUGAAAACGUAGAUCAUUGUGGAUCCUCUUUCUUAGGUUAGGUGUGAAAAAAAGGGAAAAGAAAGAAACACAUGGCAGGAUAAUGGGAGAAUCUUGUAACGCGUCGAUGAAGCGAUACUAAAUCCUUUCCGGAUAGUUAGACUCGCGGUUCUCCCAUAAUCUUUUGGGUCGUGUCAGUUCGGUUUACGAUUUAUCUGCCCUCGGCUGUCUCUCCGUGUCAUUUUUUAUUUAUAUUCCGGGGAAGUGUCGCAUUGGGAGCGGCGCGACCCCUCGACAAAACGCAAGGAUACCUGUUUUACAAACGCCGUCUAAACACACGCAUACACGCGCACGCUGCGAAGUGACCCAGUCGCAACAGAUGCAAAGAAUACUCUAGUUGUUUCUUUCUUCGUCUCUCCCCCGCUAUCGCGCCUUUUUUCCACAGUCUCUCGUUUUUUCCCCCCUCCCGCUCCAUCAGGGAGUGCGCACACGUUUCCCCAGAGACGUUCCUCGAAGGGAUGACGAACCCGGGUAGUUAACCAGAGUAUUGUUCGAUUAUUAUUUCGGUACAUAUCGCGCACUUGUUAUCUCUUUGUGCGGUCAUAUGGUGGCCUUAAGGGUGAUUCUCGCCGCGAAUGACGGAUCUGCUGUUGCGUCGAAACGCCCUGUGGUCACCCACAAUUUCAUACCGCGUGACGUUUUCGUUUCGAUCCGUGCAAGAUCCUCUGGCGGAUGCGGAUGUCUCAGGUUCAGAAGCAAGAAAUGCUUCGAGCAAGACACGCGAUCGCACUGCUCCUUCCAAAAAAAAAAAAACAUUUACGCAGAUGCCUCUGUAUCCUUGUUUUUUUGUUAAGACAACCAAUUGAUAAUGAAAUACACGUCGCGGUUUUCGUUUGUGCGCUAUGAGUGCUCUAGAUUUAUGCCAAUUUUAGUUUUCCAACAAUUUUUAAACAAUCGUUCCAUUCUUCACUUAUGUAUAAUUUAAAUUGCUUAGAUUAUUUUUAGGUUAUUUUUAAGUGAGAAAUGGAACGAUCUAGAUUAUUUAGAUUAAUUUUAGGCUAUUUGUAAGUGAAAAAUGGAACAGUCUAGGUCUAUUUAGAUUAUUUAUAAGGAUUAUUUAAAAAUGAUAUAAAUUUAGCCCUAGAGCAAACAUAAUGUAUACAGAAAAUGUAUACAAAAAAGUGCAAAAAUUGUUCCAUUUACACAUAACCUAAAUUAUUUAAUUAUUUGUAAGUGAAAAAUUGUUUUAAAUUUAAUUUGUUUAAAAACUGUUUGAUUGCUCGGUUGUUCGAGACAAUCACUGAGGAAAACAUUGCAACUUUUUCAACAUUAAUGGACAUUGGAUAAUGACAUUCGUGGCUACAUCAUUCAGGCAAUGAAUCGUAUGGGGAGUGUUUCUACUUUUUUUCCCCCUGGCUGCAGAACAUUGAUGAAAUUUCACGGGGAACGUUGAAUAGGUUACAAGGGAGUUCCUCUAUUCUCUGUGACUUUCAUGGAACAAUACCAGGGGUCUGCAACGUCCAUGCAACCUGUAUCAACCUGUACACCUUCUGACUAAAUACUCCUCAGGGAAUAGGUUACAAGGCAGUCUCUCUAUUCUCUGUGACUUCUAUGGAACAAUACCAAGGGUCUGCAACUUGCAGCAAUCUGUAUAUCUUCUGUUCACUGAUUAAAUACUCCUCAGAUAUCUUCUUUAAUCGAAGAUCGGUAUUCCGAAUAGACUGCUACGAUGAGGUAAGGAAGAGGAGAGAAGAAGAAAGCGAGGGAGACGAGGACAAAGGAAGAAAGGGAGGACAAUGAUCCGCGGAAACGUAGAAAACAUCUGCUCCGAGGGCCGAAUCGCAGCGCGUCCUCCUUCAAUGAGAGGCGAUCGCGUCGUGAAACUUGUCCCACCUUGGCGCGCAUAGGCAUUCAUUAUCCUUGUCUCUGGUGCCUGCUCGAUCCUUCUCCCGUAUACGAUCUUUUUUGGUCCAUGGAACAUCUGCGGCAGCUGCAAGGCGGUGGUCUGCCACAGCGUACACGGAACGAGGCAGAUAGUCAUUCUUUGUGAAGGAAAAAGGGAAAGCAUGACGAUUCUUGACAAAGAGAGGGAAGCUCUAUCACGUUUAAAAACCAGAAGAAAGAGAAAUAAUUCGUCGUUCUGUUUUCCUUCAGAACAACGAAAAAGAGAUUUGACCUAAGUGAUGGGCGCGAGAUCCUUUGACCACAGGCAAAAUCGAGGCACGUGCACCAACUUGCACGCGGCCAGUCUCGUUCUCUCUCUCUCUCUCUCUCUCUCUCUCUCUCUCUCCUCUCGGAUACAUAUUAUGGCAGCACGCCUGGCGCGAUGUCCUGAUCAUCGGCUGCCCGUGGAAACCCCUGCUGCUCUCCACGGAUUAUAGACCAUCCACGCGGAGCCACGAGUUAAUGACAGAGAUGCGAAUAUCGAUGAACAACGUAAUAACGAUCCGCGAGCGCUUAUUUCAAAGCGUCGGCCAAUUCCUGCAAUUGUGGCCAACAGCUCUGCGCAAAGGGGAACGAUAAGUGAUAUAAAAAUAUGGCAACCCAAAGUUUUUAAUGUUAUGGAGAGUGAUUUUCUGUAUAUGGACAGUAUGUAUGCAUUUCACUUGCUUUCAAUCGUUAAAUUUUUGGUAAUCUAUCAGUCAAAAUGGAUGGAGAAUGAUUCUCUAUAUGUAGACAGUAAAUUUUCAGUUAAACUAGAUGGAAGUUUCUGGGCAGUAGUUUUGUGUCGUUACAUACAGGUUUAGUGGGUGGUUUCACGUCCCAUCAUUCAAGGUAUACGUAUUCGUGAAACUGGAAAUAUACUGGGAAGGUUUCUCUCCCAAGGAUUCGGCUGGAAGUUUGAGAGAUUUAUAAGAAGAUCACGGUUGUUUAUACUGUUUGUUAGCAUAUAGAUUAUGCAGAUAGCCGUGAUUAUAAGAAACAGAUGUAUCUGUCUUUUACGUAAAAAGUGCAUGAUGUCGAUUUGAAAAUUGUAAGACAUUCUGGAGGGACGAGAAAGCUUCCGGAGGCCUGACCACGCGGCUUUCUUGGAUUCCAUAUCUAGCAGCUGUCCUUUUGGGGCCUCGUAUCUCGCCUCUUUUUCCACACCAUGAUUUUUUCUAAACGAUCACUCACCCGUACAGCAUCGCAGCACCGGCUAUGCCACCUCCGCACUGUGCGGCGACAUAGAGAGCAGCUCGGAGGAGAGAG